AACGCGAAGAACCUUACCAAGGCUUGACAUACGCCGGAAACAUCCAGAGAUGGGUGCCCCCUUGUGGUCGGUGUACAGGUGGUGCAUGGCUGUCGUCAGCUCGUGUCGUGAGAUGUUGGGUUAAGUCCCGCAACGAGCGCAACCCUUGUUCUGUGUUGCCAGCAUGCCUUUCGGGGUGAUGGGGACUCACAGGAGACUGCCGGGGUCAACUCGGAGGAAGGUGGGGACGACGUCAAGUCAUCAUGCCCCUUAUGUCUUGGGCUGCACACGUGCUACAAUGGCCGGUACAAUGAGCUGCGAUACCGUGAGGUGGAGCGAAUCUCAAAAAGCCGGUCUCAGUUCGGAUUGGGGUCUGCAACUCGACCCCAUGAAGUCGGAGUCGCUAGUAAUCGCAGAUCAGCAUUGCUGCGGUGAAUACGUUCCCGGGCCUUGUACACACCG
rnacentral:rRNA from 1 species